GGUCAGAUCAGCCUUUUAUUUAAAGUCGGAGGAAGGAGUCCAGGGGCAGAAUAGAAACAAAAGAAAAAGAGGCGACAGAUAGGUGUCCGCCUCAGGAUCCCAGACACUCAGCGGUAAGGCCAGCCGGAUGGGGGAGGGGUCCCUCCUGGCCUGGAGAAUUAUGCAACUUUCUUGAAGCAAGCUAGUGACAUGCCCUGCCAUACUCUCCUGAUGCUGGGCCUGGGCCACAGCAGCCACAGCUCCCAGUCAGCCCUGCCAUCAGAAAGUGGAUUCAUGAGGACCUCAUCCUACCUAAAUCGGGAAAGAUCUGUAAAACACUUAGAACAGCACCCAGCCCAUCCACAUACCUCUCCGUUAAAUAAAAUAGAAUUGUAUUAAGUGCAAGUAUUGCUCCUCACUAUUUUUAUAAGGGUGAAAUAAAGUCAAAAUCUGGAGUUACUUUGAAGGAGAAAAGUUUACAGGAAAGACAAGACCACCCCAUAGUUUUGCCUUGGAAAAGGCCAGGGAGUAUUUCGGGGCCACUCCCUGAAUGGCUACUCCCUGUCAUGCCCACAA